UUAAGCGACUAAGCGUACACGGUGGAUGCCCUGGCAGUCAGAGGCGAUGAAGGACGUGCUAAUCUGCGAAAAGCGUCGGUAAGGUGAUAUGAACCGUUACAGCCGGCGAUGUCCGAAUGGGGGAAACCCAGUGCAAUUCGUUGCACUAUCGUUAACUGAAUACAUAGGUUAACGAGGCGAACCGGGGGAACUGAAACAUCUAAGUACCCCGAGGAAAAGAAAUCAACCGAGAUUCCCCCAGUAGCGGCGAGCGAACGGGGAGCAGCCCAGAGUCUGAAUCAGCUUGUGUGUUAGUGGAACGGUCUGGAAAGUCCGACGGUACAGGGUGAUAGUCCCGUACACCAAAAUGCACAGGCUGUGAACUCGAAGAGUAGGGCGGGACACGUGGUAUCCUGUCUGAAUAUGGGGGGACCAUCCUCCAAGGCUAAAUACUCCUGACUGACCGAUAGUGAACCAGUACCGUGAGGGAAAGGCGAAAAGAACCCCGGCGAGGGGAGUGAAAAAGAACCUGAAACCGUGUACGUACAAGCAGUGGGAGCACCUUCGGGUGUGACUGCGUACCUUUUGUAUAAUGGGUCAGCGACUUAUAUUCUGUAGCAAGGUUAACCGUAUAGGGGAGCCGCAGGGAAACCGAGUCUUAACUGGGCGUUAAGUUGCAGGGUAUAGACCCGAAACCCGGUGAUCUAGCCAUGGGCAGGUUGAAGGUUGGGUAACACUAACUGGAGGACCGAACCGACUAAUGUUGAAAAAUUAGCGGAUGACUUGUGGCUGGGGGUGAAAGGCCAAUCAAACCGGGAGAUAGCUGGUUCUCCCCGAAAGCUAUUUAGGUAGCGCCUCGUGAAUUCAUCUUCGGGGGUAGAGCACUGUUUCGGCUAGGGGGUCAUCCCGACUUACCAACCCGAUGCAAACUACGAAUACCGAAGAAUGUUAUCACGGGAGACACACGGCGGGUGCUAACGUCCGUCGUGAAGAGGGAAACAACCCAGACCGCCAGCUAAGGUCCCAAAGUCAUGGUUAAGUGGGAAACGAUGUGGGAAGGCACAGACAGCCAGGAUGUUGGCUUAGAAGCAGCCAUCAUUUAAAGAAAGCGUAAUAGCUCACUGGUCGAGUCGGCCUGCGCGGAAGAUGUAACGGGGCUAAACCAUGCACCGAAGCUGCGGCAGCGACACUAUGUGUUGUUGGGUAGGGGAGCGUUCUGUAAGCCUGCGAAGGUGACCUGUGAGGGGUUGCUGGAGGUAUCAGAAGUGCGAAUGCUGACAUAAGUAACGAUAAAGCGGGUGAAAAGCCCGCUCGCCGGAAGACCAAGGGUUCCUGUCCAACGUUAAUCGGGGCAGGGUGAGUCGACCCCUAAGGCGAGGCCGAAAGGCGUAGUCGAUGGGAAACAGGUUAAUAUUCCUGUACUUGGUGUUACUGCGAAGGGGGGGACGGAGAAGGCUAUGUUAGCCGGGCGACGGUUGUCCCGGUUUAAGCAUGUAGGCUGAUUGUCCAGGCAAAUCCGGAUAAUCAAGGCUGAGGUGUGAUGACGAGGCACUACGGUGCUGAAGUAACAAAUGCCCUGCUUCCAGGAAAAGCCUCUAAGCAUCAGGUAACAUCAAAUCGUACCCCAAACCGACACAGGUGGUCAGGUAGAGAAUACCAAGGCGCUUGAGAGAACUCGGGUGAAGGAACUAGGCAAAAUGGUGCCGUAACUUCGGGAGAAGGCACGCUGGUGUGUAGGUGAAGCCCCUGCGGGUGGAGCUGAGACCAGUCGAAGAUACCAGCUGGCUGCAACUGUUUAUUAAAAACACAGCACUGUGCAAACACGAAAGUGGACGUAUACGGUGUGACGCCUGCCCGGUGCCGGAAGGUUAAUUGAUGGGGUUAUCCGUAAGGAGAAGCUCUUGAUCGAAGCCCCGGUAAACGGCGGCCGUAACUAUAACGGUCCUAAGGUAGCGAAAUUCCUUGUCGGGUAAGUUCCGACCUGCACGAAUGGCGUAAUGAUGGCCAGGCUGUCUCCACCCGAGACUCAGUGAAAUUGAACUCGCUGUGAAGAUGCAGUGUACCCGCGGCAAGACGGAAAGACCCCGUGAACCUUUACUAUAGCUUGACACUGAACAUUGAGCCUUGAUGUGUAGGAUAGGUGGAGGCUUUGAAGCGUGGACGCCAGUCUGCGUGGAGCCAACCUUGAAAUACCACCCUUUAAUGUUUGAUGUUCUAACGUUGGCCCCUUACCGGGGUUGCGGACAGUGUCUGGUGGGUAGUUUGACUGGGGCGGUCUCCUCCCAAAGCGUAACGGAGGAGCACGAAGGUUAGCUAAUCCUGGUCGGACAUCAGGAGGUUAGUGCAAUGGCAUAAGCUAGCUUGACUGCGAGCGUGACGGCGCGAGCAGGUGCGAAAGCAGGUCAUAGUGAUCCGGUGGUUCUGAAUGGAAGGGCCAUCGCUCAACGGAUAAAAGGUACUCCGGGGAUAACAGGCUGAUACCGCCCAAGAGUUCAUAUCGACGGCGGUGUUUGGCACCUCGAUGUCGGCUCAUCACAUCCUGGGGCUGAAGUAGGUCCCAAGGGUAUGGCUGUUCGCCAUUUAAAGUGGUACGCGAGCUGGGUUUAGAACGUCGUGAGACAGUUCGGUCCCUAUCUGCCGUGGGCGCUGGAGAAUUGAGGGGGGCUGCUCCUAGUACGAGAGGACCGGAGUGGACGCAUCACUGGUGUUCGGGUUGUCAUGCCAAUGGCACUGCCCGGUAGCUAAAUGCGGAAAGAGAUAAGUGCUGAAAGCAUCUAAGCACGAAACUUGCCCCGAGAUGAGUUCUCCCUGAGACUUUAAGUCUCCUGAAGGAACGUUGAAGACGACGACGUUGAUAGGCCGGGUGUGUAAGCGCAGCGAUGCGUUGAGCUAACCGGUACUAAUGAACCGUGAGGCUUAACCUU
rnacentral:rRNA from 1 species